ACGCAGUGCAAAGGGCCACUUCGGCACCGCCCCUCGGGGCUUGUGUGUGCUGGGGAAAGUCCCCGGGCGACGAGGUAGAAAGUACCACUCCGAAAGGAUAGGACCCUCGCGGCAGGCUCGAGCCUUUCGGGGCCAGAGCCACGCUGCGGGGCAGCUCGCCAUUUUCACAGUUAUGUGGCCUCCUGCUGCGGCUGGACUGCGGUGCCUCGGCUCCGCAAUCUAGUCGACGGGAAACUCAACGGGGCUUACUCUUGUGCUGACG
rnacentral:RNase_MRP_RNA from 2 species